rnacentral:lncRNA from 1 species
UACGAAAAGAAAAGAUGGAGACUGGAGGUAUAGUAAAUUUAAAUUUCGAGUAUAGGAUGAGGAUGAAAUGUGGAGUUGUGACUGUAAGUGUUAAAAUGUCUGACUAGCUAAGGAAAUGGAGGUAGAAAACAAUGAUAGAUGGAAUAGGAGAGCGGAAAAAGACUGGGAGUGGUGGAAAUGUUGGUUAGAGCUGUGAGUAAAGAGAAAUGGAGGAAGCUGUGGGAGGAGAGAUCAAUGAGUACAGUGAGUGAGUGAAGGUGAGUUUUGAUUACUGUUAGAGGAAGGAGUACAGUGAUUGAAAAGGUGCAAGAGAGACCGUAGGGAGGUGAGGUGAGUUGGAGUGAGUUUGGAGGAGCAAAACCCGCACGGGAGAAAGUGAGGCAAAAUGUUGAAAGAGAGAGAGAGGGAGAAGUGAAGGGCUCUGAGGGAUUGAUAAGGAUAGGGAGAAGAGUGCUGGAAGCCGAGAUAAACGAAGAGGAGGAAAGAGAGGUACUGAGAGUGGAAUGGUUAGAGGUAUAAUGAGUACGGGAGGGUAGGAGGUGAGAUGCUGAAAGAGGAAGAUAGGGAGAGGUAGAGUGCUGUGAGAGAGUGGUAUUGAUAGGAAGAAGAGAACGGGAAGCCGAGACAAACUAAGAGAAGGGAAAAGAUAGAGAAAGAGUGGAUUGGUUGGUAACAGUGAGUGUAGGCAGGUAAGGGGUGGGGUGUGAGUAUUUUGAAAAUUAGGGAGCAGUAAAUGUAGGCCUGUAGUGGUUGUGUGUGUGAGUGGUUGUUAUAGAUGUGCAUUUGUGUAAAUGUGAUGUGUGUGGGUGUGUGUUGUAU